rnacentral:lncRNA from 1 species
UUCAAAGGGAUGUUCAUCCAUAUAUACUUCCCAAUCUCACGGGUAAACCAAUUACCAUGGUUCCCGACAGGGGAAUAUGUCAGCUCCUUAUCGAAAUCCAAAUCUACAGGCUUUCCCUUGUUUGCCCUUAUUAUCUUUGAUAGUUGAAUGUUUUUUGCUAGGCCUCUUCUUUUUUUAGGGAGCUCAGCUGAAAAAUAUAAUCAAAAAUAUUAAUCACGAUAGCUUAUAAUAAAUGGAUAAAAAUAUCUAACAAAUAUAUCAUAAUAAGACUUACCAUCCUGUUUGUGUUUACCACGACCAAAGCCUACGGGAGGUGGUGGAUCCCCGACUCCAUCACCUCCAUGUCCUAAGCCCAUAACAUCCGCCAUCACGUAGAAGAGUAUCGCCCAACUAAACCCCAUAUAUAGCCUGGAAAAUUACAAUAUGAAUAGAUUUUACACAUAUUACAUAUACAAAAAUAAUACAGUUUCUAUUAUAACAUUGUAAUUUCCAAAUUGCAUACAAAUACAUACACAAUAUAACAUCAUACUUUUUUUUUCCAUAAAAUAUGAUAAAAC